rnacentral:rRNA from 1 species
UCAAGUGAAUAAGUGCAUGUGGUGGAUGCCUUGGCGAUUACAGGCGAUGAAGGACGUUGUAGCCUGCGAAAAGCCGCGGGGAGCUGGCAAACAAGCUUUGAUCCGCGGAUGUCCGAAUGGGGAAACCCACCCGCAAGGGUAUCGCUGACUGAAUUCAUAGGUCAGCGAGGCGAACGUGGCGAACUGAAACAUCUAAGUAGCCACAGGAAAAGAAAUCAACCGAGAUUCCGAAAGUAGUGGCGAGCGAAAUCGGAGCAGCCUGUGCGUGAUAGUCGAUUGGCUAGUGGAACGGUAUGGAAAGGCCGGCCAUAGAGGGUGAUAGCCCCUUACACGAAAGCGAAUCGGUGGUACUGAGCGUACGACAAGUAGGGCGGGACACGUGUAAUCCUGUCUGAAGAUGGGGGGACCAUCCUCCAAGGCUAAAUACUCGUAAUCGACCGAUAGUGAACAAGUACUGUGAAGGAAAGGCGAAAAGAACCCCGGGAGGGGAGUGAAAUAGAUCCUGAAACCGCAUGCAUACAAACAGUCGGAGCCUCGCAAGGGGUGACGGCGUACCUUUUGUAUAAUGGGUCAGCGACUUACGUUCAGUGGCAAGCUUAACCAGAUAGGGGAGGCGCAGGGAAACCGAGUCCGAAUAGGGCGCCAUAGUCGCUGGGCGUAGACCCGAAACCAGGUGAUCUAUCCAUGGUCAGGAUGAAGGUUGGGUAACACCAGCUGGAGGUCCGAACCGACUAAUGUUGCAAAAUUAGCGGAUGAACUGUGGAUAGGGGUGAAAGGCUAAUCAAACCUGGAAAUAGCUGGUUCUCCCCGAAAACUAUUUAGGUAGUGCGUCAUGUAUUGCUCCAGGGGGUAGAGCACUGUAAUGGUUGUGGGGGCCAUCGCGGCUUACCACGCCAUAGCAAACUCCGAAUACCUGGAAGUAUGAGCAUGGCAGACAGUCGCCGGGUGCUAACGUCCGGCGGCAAGAGGGAAACAACCCAGACCUACAGCUAAGGUCCCAAAGUGUGGCUAAGUGGGAAACGAAGUGGGAAGGCUAAAACAGUCAGGAUGUUGGCUUAGAAGCAGCCAUCAUUUAAAGAAAGCGUAAUAGCUCACUGAUCGAGUCGUCCUGCGCGGAAGAUGUAACGGGGCUAAGCCAUGCACCGAAGCUUAGGCUGCACUCUCUGAGUGCGGGGUAGGGGAGCGUUCUGUAAGCCUGUGAAGGUGUCUCGUAAGGGAUGCUGGAGGUAUCAGAAGUGCGAAUGCUGACAUGAGUAGCGUUAAAGCGGGUGAAAAGCCCGCUCGCCGUAAGCGCAAGGUUUCCUACGCAACGUUCAUCGGCGUAGGGUGAGUCGGCCCCUAAGGUGAGGGCGAAAGCCAUAGCUGAUGGGAAGCUGGUUAAUAUUCCAGCACCGAUUUCUAGUGCGAUGGGGGGACGGAUCGUGGAAGGUUGUCCGGGUGUUGGAAGUCCCGGUUCCUGACCUGUAGGUGUCUGGUAGGUAAAUCCGCCAGGCGUAUGCCGAGGGGUUGGGACGAGCGAGCUUGCUCGCGAAGCAACUGGAAGUGGUUCCAAGAAAAGCCUCUAAGCUUCAGCUAGAAACGACCGUACCGCAAACCAACACUGGUGCGCGAGAUGAGUAUUCUCAGGCGCUUGAGAGAACUCGGGAGAAGGAACUCGGCAAAUUGACACCGUAACUUCGGAAGAAGGUGUGCCUUGGUAGCUUGAGUGUGAACAACACAAGGGCGAAGAGGUUGCAAAGAAUAGGUGGCUGCGACUGUUUAUUAAAAACACAGCACUCUGCAAACACGAAAGUGGACGUAUAGGGUGUGACGCCUGCCCGGUGCCGGAAGGUUAAGUGAUGGGGUGCAAGCUCUUGAUCGAAGCCCCGGUAAACGGCGGCCGUAACUAUAACGGUCCUAAGGUAGCGAAAUUCCUUGUCGGG